rnacentral:rRNA from 1 species
UACGUAGGGGGCAAGCGUUAUCCGGAUUUACUGGGUGUAAAGGGAGCGUAGACGGCAGCGCAAGUCUGGAGUGAAAUGCCGGGGCCCAACCCCGGAACUGCUUUGGAAACUGUGCAGCUCGAGUGCAGGAGAGGUAAGCGGAAUUCCUAGUGUAGCGGUGAAAUGCGUAGAUAUUAGGAGGAACACCAGUGGCGAAGGCGGCUUACUGGACUGUAGCUGACGUUGAGGCUCGAAAGCGUGGGGAGCAAACAGG